rnacentral:rRNA from 1 species
CGCUAGCUACAGGCUUAACACAUGCAAGUCGAGGGGCAGCAUGGUCUUAGCUUGCUAAGACUGAUGGCGACCGGCGCACGGGUGAGUAACACGUAUCCAACCUGCCGUCUACUCUUGGACAGCCUUCUGAAAGGAAGAUUAAUACAAGAUGGCAUCAUGAGUCCGCAUGUUCACAUGAUUAAAGGUAUUCCGGUAGACGAUGGGGAUGCGUUCCAUUAGAUAGUAGGCGGGGUAACAGCCCACCUAGUCUUCGAUGGAUAGGGGUUCUGAGAGGAAGGUCCCCCACAUUGGAACUGAGACACGGUCCAAACUCCUACGGGAGGCAGCAGUGAGGAAUAUUGGUCAAUGGGCGAGAGCCUGAACCAGCCAAGUAGCGUGAAGGAUGACUGCCCUAUGGGUUGUAAACUUCUUUUAUAAAGGAAUAAAGUCGGGUAUGCAUACCCGUUUGCAUGUACUUUAUGAAUAAGGAUCGGCUAACUCCGUGCCAGCAGCCGCGGUAAUACGGAGGAUCCGAGCGUUAUCCGGAUUUAUUGGGUUUAAAGGGAGCGUAGAUGGAUGUUUAAGUCAGUUGUGAAAGUUUGCGGCUCAACCGUAAAAUUGCAGUUGAUACUGGAUAUCUUGAGUGCAGUUGAGGCAGGCGGAAUUCGUGGUGUAGCGGUGAAAUGCUUAGAUAUCACGAAGAACUCCGAUUGCGAAGGCAGCCUGCUAAGCUGCAACUGACAUUGAGGCUCGAAAGUGUGGGUAUCAAACAGGAUUAGAUACCCUGGUAGUCCACACGGUAAACGAUGAAUACUCGCUGUUUGCGAUAUACUGCAAGCGGCCAAGCGAAAGCGUUAAGUAUUCCACCUGGGGAGUACGCCGGCAACGGUGAAACUCAAAGGAAUUGACGGGGGCCCGCACAAGCGGAGGAACAUGUGGUUUAAUUCGAUGAUACGCGAGGAACCUUACCCGGGCUUAAAUUGCAGAUGAAUUACGGUGAAAGCCGUAAGCCGCAAGGCAUCUGUGAAGGUGCUGCAUGGUUGUCGUCAGCUCGUGCCGUGAGGUGUCGGCUUAAGUGCCAUAACGAGCGCAACCCUUGUUGUCAGUUACUAACAGGUUCCGCUGAGGACUCUGACAAGACUGCCAUCGUAAGGUGUGAGGAAGGUGGGGAUGACGUCAAAUCAGCACGGCCCUUACGUCCGGGGCUACACACGUGUUACAAUGGGGGGUACAGAGGGCCGCUACCACGCGAGUGGAUGCCAAUCCCCAAAACCUCUCUCAGUUCGGACUGGAGUCUGCAACCCGACUCCACGAAGCUGGAUUCGCUAGUAAUCGCGCAUCAGCCACGGCGCGGUGAAUACGUUCCCGGGCCUUGUACACACCGCCCGUCAAGCCAUGGGAGCCGGGGGUACCUGAAGUGCGUAACCGCGAGGAGCGCCCUAGGGUAAAACUGGUGA